UAAUAAAAUCAAUAUCGAACGAAACCCUUUCCCCUUUCCAUCUGUUCUCACGGUCCCCUUUUCUUAUUUCCCAUCUCCGCCAGAUAUACCCAAAUACCCAAGAAGCUGCUGUUGCUCAUCGCCACUCGAAGCCGUCAAGGCCUCCAACAUCACGCCAUCAACGCUCAACUCUCUGCCAUCGUUAGUGCUCUUACUUACGGAUUUGUGCCUCUUCCACGCAAUUCGCCUUCUACAUGUAGAUAACCUUGUGAGAAAAUUAGGACCUACUCUACCAAAGUUUGGAGAAACUGAAAUUUGCCGCCAUUAGUAGCAGUGUGCCAUAUUCUGCAUCUGUUGGGUGUGAAGGUAAUACCAUGUGGCCUAAGGGUACCAUCUAUCUUUGCUAGUAUAUUCUCUUGGGUUUGUACUAAAAAACUUCUGGUUAGAUCAUAUGUUCGCUAAUUAUUAGCAGUUGAUCCCCUAAUUUUAGUCUCUUACGCAUUAACACGUGUUUGUUGUAGCAUCUCCUCCCUUUAUCCAUUAAUUUGUAAUCUAAUGUGAAUACCUUAACUUGUUUUUACAGUUAUCAGUUAACCACAUUAAUAGUGAAAAAGGUC